rnacentral:rRNA from 1 species
GUAAAGCGGCGAACGGGUGAGUAACACGUAAGAAACCUGCCCCUAAAUCCGGAAUAACGUUGCUAACGCGGUGCUAAUACCGGAUGUGGUCUCCAGUUUGCAUGAACAGGAGAUUAAAUGUGACCUCUACUUGUAAGUUAUCGUUUAGGGAUGGUCCUGCGGACCAUUAGCUUGUUGGCGGGGUAACGGCCCACCAAUGCUGCGAUGGUUAGCCGGCUUAAGAGGGUGAUCGGCCACAUUGGGACUGAGAUACGGCCCAGACUCCUACGGGAGUGCAGCAGUAGGGAAUUUUGCGCAAUGGACGAAAGUCUGACGCAGCAACGCCGCGUGAGCGAUGAAGGUUUUCGGAUUGUAAAGCUCUGUUGAGUGGGAAGAAAACUCUCCGGGAUAAUACCCCGGAGACUUGACGGUACCACUCGAGGAAGCCCCCGGCUAAAUACGUGCCAGCAGCCGCGGUAAUACGUAUGGGGCAAGCGUUGUUCGGAAUCACUGGGCGUAAAGGGAGUGUCGGCGGAAAGGUAAGUCAGAAGUGUCAUCCACGGGCUUAACCCGUGACUCGCUUUUAAUACUUGCUUUCUUGAAGUAUGGGAGAGGGAGAUGGAAUUCCAGGUGUAGCGGUGGAAUGCGUAGAUAUCUGGAAGAACACCAGUAGCGAAGGCGGUCUCCUGGCCCAAUACUGACGCUGAGGCUCGAAAGCGUGGGGAGCGAACAGGAUUUAGAUACCCUGGUAGUCCACGCCGUAAGCGAUGGACACUAGAUGUUGGCCUCUUCGGGGGUCGGUGUCGUAGCUAACGCGUUAAGUGUCCCGCCUGGGAAGUACGCUCGCAAGAGUGAAACUCAAAGGAAUUGACGGGGGCCCGCACAAGCGGUGGAGCAUGUGCUUUAAUUCGAUGCAACGCGAAGAACCUUACCUGGACUUGACAUGGGGGUGAAAGUUUUCAGAGAUGAAAACCCUUCCUUCGGGAACGCCCUACACAGGUGCUGCAUGGUUGUCGUCAGCUCGUGUCGUGAGAUGUUGGGUUAAGUCCCGCAACGAGCGCAACCCUUGUCCUUAGUUGCCAGCGGGUCAUGCCGGGAACUCUAGGGAGACUGCCUGGUUACAACCAGGAGGACGGUGGGGAUGACGUCAAAUCAUCAUGGCCCUUACGUCCAGGGCUAGACACGUGCUACAAUGGCCGGUACAGAGGGCUGCAAGACUGCGAAGUCAAGCCAAUCCCUAAAAACCGGUCUCAGUUCGGAUUGGAGUCUGCAAUUCGACUCCCUGAAGGUGGAAUCGCUAGUAAUCGCGGAUCAGCAU